rnacentral:rRNA from 1 species
GACGAACGCUGGCGGCGUGCCUAAUACAUGCAAGUCGAACGCAGUGGGGACGGGUGAGUAACACCUGGGUAACCUCCCAUCAGAGGGGAUAACACUUGGCAACAGGUGCUAAACCGAUACUGAUUUCUUGACCCGCGGGGCAUUAGCUAGUUGGUGAGGUAACGGCUCACCAAGGCCACGAUGCAUAGCCGACCUGAGAGGGGGAUCGGCCACACGGGGACUGAGACACGGCCCAGACUCCUACGGGAGGCAGCAGUAGGGAAUCUUCGGCAAUGGACGAAAGUCUGACCGAGCAACGCCGCGUGAGUGAAGAAGGUUUUCGGAUCGUAAAACUCUGUUGUUAGAGAAGCGGUAUCUAACCAGAAAGCCACGGCUAACUACGUGCCAGCAGCCGCGGUAAUUC